UGUUUAAUUAAAUAAAUAUAAUAACUAAGUUAUUAAACUUGGUUAAAUGUUUAAGAAAACAAUCAAGGGAAGGAAAUUACUACAUUUGUGAUCAAGUAACAACUAGAGGGGCCAAGGUUGUCAAUAAAGAGGAAAGUUUAUGUUUAAAUAAAAUAAAAAUUAAAACCCCAAAAAAAAAUACACACUCAGUGUGUGUGUGUGGGUCGAUGUUCGACCAGGAGAGAAAGGAAAAGGGGUAAAACCCUAGAUCACCAAAAUCCAGCAAAUUGAAGGAGGAUUGAAGGGCUAAUCGAAUGCAUGAACCAGGAAUGUCGACCAUUUAAGUGUUUCUACCAUCAUGAACGUGUCAAGGAGACGUCAAGCAUAGGAGGAUGACGGGUCAAGAUAAGGCAAGGUGACAAAUACACUUAUUGG
rnacentral:lncRNA from 1 species